CCGUGCCGCGUGAAGGAUGAAUGCCCUGUGGGUUGUAAACUUCUUUUGUACGGGACGAAGCUCCUGGUCGUGACCGGGAUUGACUGUACCGUGCGAAUAAGCAUCGGCUAACUCCGUGCCAGCAGCCGCGGUAAUACGGAGGAUGCAAGCGUUAUCCGGAUUCAUUGGGUUUAAAGGGUGCGUAGGCGGAAUAAUAAGUCAGUGGUGAAAGCCUGCGGCUUAACCGUAGAAAUGCCAUUGAUACUGUUAUUCUUGAGUAUAGUUGAGGUGGGCGGAAUGUGUAAUGUAGCGGUGAAAUGCUUAGAUAUUACACAGAACACCAAUUGCGAAGGCAGCUCACUAAGCUGUUACUGACGCUGAGGCACGAAAGCGUGGGGAGCAAACAGGAUUAGAUACCCUGGUAGUCCACGCCGUAAACGAUGAUCACUCGUUGUUGGCGAUACACCGUCAGCGACUGAGCGAAAGCAAUAAGUGAUCCACCUGGGGAGUACGGCGGCAACGCUGAAACUCAAAGGAAUUGACGG
rnacentral:rRNA from 1 species